AGUGAACGCUGGCGGCGUGCUUAACACAUGCAAGUCGAACGAGAACGGAUUAUAGCUUGCUAUAAUUGUCAGCUAAGUGGCGCACGGGUGAGUAAUGUAUAGGUAAUAUGCCUCUUGCUAAGGGAUAACAAAUGGAAACGUUUGCUAAUACCUUGUACUCCUUAUUAACAGAAGUUAACAAGGGAAAGAUUUAUUGGUAAGAGAUUAGCCUGUAUUGUAUCAGUUAGUUGGUGGGGUAAUGGCCUACCAAGACUAUGACACAUAACUGGUUUGAGAGGAUGAUCCGUCACACUGGAACGGAGACACGGUCCAGACUCCUACGGGAGGCAGCAGUGGGGAAUAUUGCACAAUGGACGAAAGUCUGAUGCAGCAACGCCGCGUGGAGGAUGACACAUUUCGGUGCGUAAACUCCUUUUAUAUGAGAAGAUAAUGACGGUGUUAUAUGAAUAAGCACCGGCUAACUCCGUGCCAGCAGCCGCAGUAA
rnacentral:rRNA from 1 species